UGGCAGAAUAAUCACUCCUUGAUGGA
rnacentral:misc_RNA from 1 species